ensembl:lncRNA
GGGCAGAUGGGAAAGUAGUUAGCCACAGUUGGGACAGUAGUUACCGGCAGUAGGGACAGUUGGGACAGUAGUUGGCGACAGUUGUCACAGUAGUUAGGGGCAGUUGAGACAGUCGUUAGCGGAAGUUGGGACAGUAGUUAGUGACAGUUGUUAGGGGCAGUUGGCACAGUAGGUAGGGCAGUUGGGACAGUAGUUAACAGCAGUAGUGGCAGUUGGGAGACUAGUUAGGGGCAGUUGGGACAGUAGUUAGCGGCAGUUGGGACAGUAGUUAGGGGCGGGUCGGACAGUACUUAGCGACAGUUGGGACAGUAGUAAGCGUCAGUUGGGACAGUAGUAAGCGUCAGUUGGGGCAGUUGGGACAGUAGUUAGGGGCAGUUGGGACAGUAGUUAGUUGCAGUUGGGACAGUAGCAAGCGGAAGAUGGACAGUAGUUGGGACAGCAGUUAGCGGCUGUCGGCACAGUAGUUAGGGGCAGUUCAGACAGUCAUUAGCAGCAGUUGUGACAGUAGUUAGGGCCAGUUGGGACAGUACUUAGGGGCAUUUGAGACAGUACUUAGCGACAGUUGGGACAAUAGUUAGGGGCAGUUGGGACAGUAGUUACUGGCAGGUGGGAUAGUAGUUACCGACAGCUGCGGCAGUAGUUAGGGGUAGUUGGGACAGUAGUUAGCGGCAUUUGGGACAAUAGUUAGGAGCAGUUGGGACAGUAGUUACUGGCAGCUGCGGCAGUAGUUAGGGGUAGUUGGGACAGUGGUUAGCGGCAGUUGGGACUGUAGUUAGGGACAGUUGGGACAGUUGUUAGGGACAGUUGUAAGCAGUAUUUAGCUGUAGUUAGUUGUAAAACAGUAGUUAGCGGCAGUUGCGGCAGUUGGGACAGUAGUUAGGGUCAGUUGGGACAGUAGUUAGCGACAGUUGGGACAGUAGCUUGGGGCACUUGGGACAGUAGUUAGGG